rnacentral:piRNA from 1 species
UACAAAUUAUUUGGAUAUUAACUAUGGUC